rnacentral:rRNA from 1 species
GACGAACGCUGGCGGCGCGCCUAACACAUGCAAGUCGAACGGAGCUGAGAGAAGCUUGCUUUUCUUAGCUUAGUGGCGAACGGGUGAGUAACGCGUGAGUAACCUGCCCUGGAGUGGGGGACAACAGUUGGAAACGACUGCUAAUACCGCAUAAGCCCACGAUCCGGCAUCGGAUUGAGGGAAAAGGAUUUAUUCGCUUCAGGAUGGACUCGCGUCCAAUUAGCUAGUUGGUGAGGUAACGGCCCACCAAGGCGACGAUUGGUAGCCGGACUGAGAGGUUGAGCGGCCACAUUGGGACUGGGACACGGCCCAGACUCCUACGGGAGGCAGCAGUGGGGGAUAUUGCACCAUGGGGGGAACCCUGAUGCAGCGACGCCGCGUGGAGGAAGAAGGUUUUCGGAUUGUAAACUCCUGUCGUUAGGGACGAUAAUGACGGUACCUAACAAGAAAGCACCGGCUAACUACGUG